rnacentral:rRNA from 1 species
UCUUGGUCAUUUAGAGGNAGUAAAAGUCGUAACAAGGUCUCCGUUGGUGAACCAGCGGAGGGAUCAUUACCGAGUUUACAACUCCCAAACCCCUGUGAACAUACCUUUAUGUUGCCUCGGCGGAUCAGCCCGCGCCCCGUAAAACGGGACGGCCCGCCGCAGGAACCACAAAACUCUGAUUUUAGUGUAACUUCUGAGUCUAAAAAACAAAUAAAUCAAAACUUUCAACAACGGAUCUCUUGGUUCUGGCAUCGAUGAAGAACGCAGCAAAAUGCGAUAAGUAAUGUGAAUUGCAGAAUUCAGUGAAUCAUCGAAUCUUUGAACGCACAUUGCGCCCGCCAGUAUUCUGGCGGGCAUGCCUGUUCGAGCGUCAUUUCAACCCUCAAGCCCCCGGGUUUGGUGUUNGGGGAUCGGGCUGUACUCCAGCCCGGCCCCGAAAUCUAGUGGCGGUCUCGCUGCAGCCUCCAUUGCGUAGUAGCUAACACCUCGCAACUGGAACGCGGCGCGGCCAAGCCGUUAAACCCCCAACUUCUGAAUGUUGACCUCGGAUCAGGUAGGAAUACCCGCUGAACUUAAGCAUAUCAAUAAGCGGANG